GGGGAAAUAAGACCACUGGGUGUGUUGUAAAGACUUUGCUCCCUUUUCAGUGGGAAAAGGGGUUGUUGUGGCAUUUGAGCUGACAUUCAAGGUUCAUCCAACACAGAGGUCAAAAAUGAAGAGUCUGGUUGGGUACUGGGGUGUGAUUAUUUUGAUAUUUCUCUUGAACUGCACAGAACAGACUAAGAAACGCAAGAAUGUACGUUCUUCCCAUGGAACAGACUGCACACAGAUAAAGGCUCUCGAGCCACAAGCAUCCAGUGGCAUUUAUGUAAUCCAGCCUAAAGGAGUCGACAUCCCAUUUAAGGUGUACUGUGAGAUGCGGCCAGAUGGAGGCUGGACGGUGUUUCAGAGGCGCAGUGGCGGAGCAGUUUCCUUCAACAGGAAAUGGGCUGCAUAUAAAAAGGGUUUCGGAAACUUGACACAGGACUACUGGCUCGGUCUGAAGACAAUUUUCUCUAUGACCAAGAACAAGACCAAGAAGUGGACCAUGAGGGUCGACCUGUGGGACCACAAAGAUGUCACUGCUUUUGCUGAGUACAGAAACUUCAGAUUGGGCAAUGAACAAGCAGCUUUUAAACUCCAUGUUGGGAAAUACCAAGGAAAUGCAGGUGAUGCCAUCCGUGGUGCCUAUUCGGGCAUCGACCAGAAUGGCUACGGCUUCAGCACCCCCGACCGUGACAAUGACGGCUGCUCCCCAUGCAUCUUUGGUGACAUCGCUGAAACAAAAUGCACUAAUUCAAACGGCGGGAGUUGGUGGUACAGCAGGUGUGGCUCUGCCAGUCUGAACGGCGACUGGCAUCCUGCCGGGGACCACAUCGGUUGGGCAUCAGGCCUCUACUGGCACACCUGGAAUGAGACUGUGCAGUACUCCUUGAAGGCCACCAGAAUGAUGAUCAAGUCUGUCUGAGAGAAGCCACAUUACGAGCUUUUGUUGUAGCACGGCAGUACGUUUAAUCCAUUUCAAAAAAGAUUUUUUAAUUUUGUGAAUU